rnacentral:rRNA from 1 species
UUUGGACAAUGGGCGCAAGCCUGNUCCAGCCAUGCCGCGUGUGUGAAGAAGGCCUUCGGGUUGUAAAGCACUUUCGGCCGGAACGAAAUCGCGCGGGUGAACAAUCCGCGUGGAUGACGGUACCGGAAGAAGAAGCACCGGCUAACUACGUGCCAGCAGCCGCGGUAAUACGUAGGGUGCGAGCGUUAAUCGGAAUUACNUGGGCGUAAAGGGUGCGCAGGCGGCUCCGCAUGUCAGGCGUGAAAGCCCCGGGCUUAACCUGGGAACGGCGCUUGAAACUACGGGGCUGGAGUGUGGCAGAGGGAGGUGGAAUUCCACGUGUAGCNGGUGAAAUGCGUAGAGAUGUGGAGGAACACCGAUGGCGAAGGCAGCCUCCUGGGCCAACACUGACGCUCAUGCACGAAAGCGUGGGGAGCAAACAGGAUUAGAUACCCUGGUAGUCCACGCCCUAAACGAUGAUGACUAGUUGUUGGGGGAGUUAAAUCCCUUAGUAACGCAGCUAACGCGUGAAGUCAUCCGCCUGGGGAGUACGGUCGCAAGAUUAAAACUCAAAAAAAUUGACGA